CAUGAAGCUGGAAUCGCUAGUAAUCGCGGAUCAGAAUGCCGCGGUGAAUACGUUCCCGGGUCUGUACACACCGCCCGUCACACCAUGAGAGUUGGGAAUACCCGAAGCCUGUGAGCUAACUUAUAGAGGCAGCAGUCGAAGGUAGAAUCAAUGAUUGGGGUGAAGUCGUAACAAGGUAUC
rnacentral:rRNA from 1 species